AUCAAUAAAAUGGACACAAAUACUCUUGUUCUUUUUGCAGAUACAGACUAACAUGGCUGCUACUCUAAAAUCCUCUACAAGAAUCAGCUGGAAGUGUUGGAGAACUAAGUGAGAGAUGGAGGCCAGAUGACCAGGUCAAUCUCCUGGUUGUCACUCAAGUUGCCGCUGUUGGAAAGUUUAGCUGAAAAAAUGCCUGCACAUCUAUUGAAAUCCUGGUACUGGUGAGUGAGAGACAUGUUCAUGCACUCUGGAAUAAUCUCCACUUAGCUCGCAUGCAUAGCAUGUUGGGGAGAGCACAAAAGAUUCCACUGUGUGUUAACAUGUGUGAUUUAGUUUAUGAAAUUGUAACCAGAUGAGCCUUUCUUUCAUCGUUGUCUCCUAUUCAUAAUUUUGUUCUGUUUCAUGUGAAAUUGGGAAAUAAAACUUUAGCUUUGCGGGAGAAAUCCCCUUCUCAGCACUCAGGCCGAGUAAGUUUACUGUGGAGAUCCAGGAGGUUGCUGCAGGGGACUGGAGAAAGGAAUACACCCUUCCCCAACUGCAGAAUAGUACUGGAUUGCCUUCACAGAGGCUACUUCAGCAUGUGUAAUAAGCAAAAGGUAAUAUAACUAUUGGUUGAAGUAAUCUCUGUGAUCCUAGUGGGCCCCUUUCCAAGUGAGUGAAAGGGAGAUAAAGCAUAUGAUCCAUGUAGAAGCAGAACCUUU